rnacentral:rRNA from 1 species
AGGACGAACGCUGGCGGCGUGCUUAACACAUGCAAGUCAAGGGGGCCCAGCAAUGGGCAACCGGCGAACGGGUGCGUAACACGUGAGCAACCUACCGAAAUGUGGGGGAUAGCCGGCCUAACGGCCGAGUAAUACCGCAUACGCUCUCGAUGAGGCAUUUCAUUGAGAGGAAACCUACGGGACAUUUCGAGGGGCUCGCGGCCUAUCAACUAGUUGGAGAGGUAACGGCUCACCAAGGCAACGACGGGUA